rnacentral:rRNA from 1 species
GAUGAACGCUGGCGGCGUGCCUAAUACAUGCAAGUCGAACGAGGUGCUUUUGUAGCGAUACGAGAGUAUCCUAGUGGCGAACGGGUGAGUAACGCGUGGAUGACCUGCCCCAAAGUGUGGGAUAACAGUCCGAAAGGAUUGCUAAUACCUCAUGUGGUUAUCGGUUUUAGAAAGCGAUAACUAAAGCAGCAAUGCGCUUUGGGAGGGAUCUGCGUCCCAUCAGCUAGUUGGUGAGGUAACGGCUCACCAAGGCGACGACGGGUAGGGGACCUGAGAGGGUGGCCCCCCACAAUGGAACUGAAACACGGUCCAUACACCUACGGGUGGCAGCAGUAGGGAAUAUUGCUCAAUGGGCGAAAGCCUGAAGCAGCAACGCCGCGUGUGCGAUGAAGGCCUUCGGUCGUAAGCGACUUUCUAAGAGAUGAGAAAGGACAGUAUCUUAGGAAUAAGUCUCGGCUACUACGUGCCAGCAGCCGCGGUAAUGUCUAG